rnacentral:rRNA from 1 species
AUUGAACGCUGGCGGCAUGCCUAACACAUGCAAGUCGAACGAGUGGCGGACGGGUGAGUAAUGUCUGGGCACCUGCCUGAUGGAGGGGGAUAACUACUGUAAACGUUAGCUAAUACCGCAUACCAUCAGAUGUGCCCAGAUGGGAUUAGCUUGUGGGGGGGGUAACGGCUCACCAAGGCGACGAUCCCUAGCUGGUCUGAGAGGAUGACCGGCCACACUGGGACUGAGACACGGCCCAGACUCCUACGGGAGGCAGCAGUGGGGAAUAUUGGGCAAUGGGCGCAAGCCUGAUGCAGCCAUGCCGCGUGUAUGAAGAAGGCCUGCGGGUUGUAAAGUACUGUCAGCGGGGAGGCGUUACCCGCAGAAGAAGCACCGGCUAACUACGUGCCAGCCGCCGCGGUAAUAC